rnacentral:rRNA from 1 species
UACGUAGGUGGCAAGCGUUGUCCGGAAUCAUUGGGCGUAAAGAGCGCGCAGGCGGCUUGGCAAGUCGGGUGUGAAAUCCCGGGGCUCAACCCCGGGACUGCAUUCGAUACUGUCAGGCUAGAGGUAGGUAGGGGAGAUCGGAAUUCCCGGUGUAGCGGUGAAAUGCGCAGAUAUCGGGAGGAACACCGAUGGCGAAGGCAGGUCUCUGGGCAUUAACUGACGCUGAGGAGCGAAAGCAUGGGGAGCGAACAGG